GGCGAACGGGUGAGUAACACGUGGGUGAUCUGCCCUGCACUUCGGGAUAAGCCUGGGAAACUGGGUCUAGUACCGGAUAGGACGAUGGUUUGGAUGCCAUUGUGGAAAGUUUUUCGGUGUGGGAUGAGCUCGCGGCCUAUCAGCUUGUUGGUGGGGUAAUGGCCUACCAAGGCGACGACGGGUAGCCGGCCUGAGAGGGUGUACGGCCACAUUGGGACUGAGACACGGCCCAG
rnacentral:rRNA from 1 species